UACGUAGGCAGCGAGCGUUGUUCGGAGUUACUGGGCGUAAAGAGUGCGUAGGCGGUUUUCCAAGUUUGGUGUGAAAUCUCCCGGCUUAACUGGGAGGGUGCGCCGAAAACUGGAAGGCUAGAGUAUGGGAGAGGUAAGCGGAAUUCCUGGUGUAGCGGUGAAAUGCGUAGAUAUCAGGAGGAACACCUGCGGUGUAGACGGCUUACUGGACCAUAACUGACGCUGAGGCACGAAAGCGUGGGUAGCAAACAGG
rnacentral:rRNA from 1 species